AACGAACGCUGGCGGCAUGCCUAACACAUGCAAGUCGAACGAGACCUUCGGGUCUAGUGGCGCACGGGUGCGUAACGCGUGGGAACCUGCCCUUAGGUUCGGAAUAACUCCCCGAAAGGGGUGCUAAUACCGGACAAUGUCUUCGGACCAAAGAUUUAUCGCCUUUGGAUGGGCCCGCGUUGGAUUAGCUAGUUGGUAGGGUAAAAGCCUACCAAGGCGACGAUCCAUAGCUGGUCUGAGAGGAUGAUCAGCCACACUGGGACUGAGACACGGCCCAGACUCCUACGGGAGGCAGCAGUGGGGGAUAUUGGACAAUGGGCGAAAGCCUGAUCCAGCAAUGCCGCGUGAGUGAUGAAGGCCUUAGGGUUGUAAAGCUCUUUUACCCGGGAUGAUAAUGACAGUACCGGGAGAAUAAGCGCCGGCUAACUCCGUG
rnacentral:rRNA from 1 species